rnacentral:lncRNA from 1 species
AUGGCAUAUGCUUUGCAGUGUCAGUUCUUCCUGCUGGCUCUCUUCCCAGAGAUGUGGACAUUCCCAAGAUGUUCUCUCUCCAGUGGCAGCAGAAGGGGCUGCCCUAUGACCGACAGACAUGACUGUUCUCAAAGCAACAUUCUUUGCAGCAUAGCCCAGUGAAGAACUAUUUAACCCAGUGAAGAAUCAUUGUAUUAAACUGUGAAAUGUCCACCAGGAGAAGCACAGAAUAUGCUGGUAGUUCAGAAGAAAAGGAGUUCUAUGGUGUUGGAGAGGGGAUCAGAGAAGGAUUCCUGAAAGAGGUGAGCAAUACAGCUUGUUUUUAAGGGUCAGUUAUGAUUUGAAGAAGCAGUGGUGAAGGAAGUAGACCAUCCAACCAUGAGCCAAAUGAUAAAUGGAAAGCUUUUACAUAUUUCUUUUUUGGUUUUCUAACAUGAAUUCCAGGCAUUUGUUGGAUAUCUCACCAGAAAUGGUAAGCUUCUGAGAGCAGGAACCAUGAUUUUACUCUUUAUCAUCCCCAAAAAGGAGCCAGCAUAAAUAAAAUAAAUACUUCUGUUGACAAUCUGGGGUCUAUGCAGAAACCAUUCUUAUAACCAAGAUAUUGAUUAAUACAUUGUAAAAACUCUUUAUCUCUUUCUCAAAAAGAGAAUAGGAAGGAGAUGGUUCAAGAAGGCAGUGUAGGGAGAUCCUGAACCCACCUUCUCCCAUAGACACAACAAGUCUACAGAUGUAUCUGAAAUAAUUUUCUCUAAAAAGUCCUAAAAACUAAAUGACUGACACCUGCAUAGCAAAGAAUAAAAGGGCCACAUUAAAAUAGGAGAGGCAGAGAAACACUCUUACCCAGGUGUGGCAACACACCAUCGGGAGAAAUGUCAAAAAUAUGGAACCACUCCAUGAGGAAUGGGGGUUUGUUCCUCACAAACAAACUUAAAAAAAAAGACUUUAUUUAUUUGAGAGAGAGAGAAUGCCUGAGAGAGGAGCAGAAGGGGAAGGGGAAGGAGGGGGACAAGCAGAAACCACACUGAGUGAAGAGCCCAUCACGGGGCUUGAUCUCACAGCACUGUGAUCAUGACCCUAACACCAUGACCUGAGCAGAAACUAAGAGUUGACUGCUUAACUGACUGAGUCACCUAGGCACUCCAGGACCCCAGCUUUUAAGUCCUGUGUCAAAGAGACAGUCCUCUCCAAACAUAAAACCAAUAGAAAUGAUGUCCAGGAGAAACAUAGAACUGUAAGGAAUGGAGAAUCCACUCAUAAAGGAUUACAACAAUAACUCACCCUGAGAACCAAUGCCAAAGCAGCAAUUUGAAAACUGCCUAAACUAUAUGUGAAGUAGAGUCACUAAUCUUAAAGUGAUGGCUAGAGAGUUAAAACCCUGUUAGGAUUCUCUCCAGGGAUGGAAGCACUGCUAGACACUUGUUUGUUUUCUUGCAAUUUCAUUCUACCUUUCUAAUCCUAAUGCUGGUGGAAGCCAUUUUGAGACUCUUCAUCUAACCCAUUAGCACAGGUGGAUUGCCCUCAGCCCUCUAUAGUCCAGCUGCACCACAGUUGGCUGGGCAAUGUCCUUACCCUUCUUCUUUGGUGCUCCAGCUGUGCCACAGCUGGGCAAGUGCCCCACCCCCUGCACCUGUAGCCACAGCCCUCCCACAGCUGGCUAGCAUACACAGUCCACACAAGGGAUAUCCCUGGAACAUCUGGAUCUGGUAGUAAGGAUUGCAAUCCUGGGCCCCAUGUCAUCUCUUACACAAGGCCAUU